rnacentral:rRNA from 1 species
GCUCACUGAAUUAUUUUAAAGAGCCGCAGUAUCCUGACUGUGCUAAGGUAGCGUAAUCAACUGUCCCCUAAAUAGUGACCUGUAUGAAUGGCUUCACGAAGGAGCUACUAUCUUAAAUUUAAACAGAAAAGUUAACCUUUUAGUUAAAAGGCUAAAAUAAUCUAAUUAGACGAGAAGACCCUAAAGAGUUUAACAACAACAUCUAUAAGAAUGAAGAACUUGAUAUCUUUUAGAUUUAAGUGUUUGAUUGGGGUGAUUAAAAAAUAAGAGAAACUUUUUAUUUUUCAAGAACUUUAUACAAGAAUUAAAGAUCCACUCAUAGUGAUUAAAAGAAAAAAUUACCUUAGGGAUAACAGCGUAAUACUUAUUGAGAGCUCAUAUUGACAUAAGUGUUUGCGACCUCGAUGUUGGACUAAAACCACGUUAUAAUGCAGCAGUUAUUAAUAGUGGGUCUGUUCGACCCUUAAACUUUUACAUGAUCUGAGUUCAAACCGGCGUGAGCCAGGUUG